rnacentral:rRNA from 1 species
AGUGAACGCUGGCGGUAGGCCUAACACAUGCAAGUCGAACGGCAGCACAGUAAGAGCUUGCUCUUACGGGUGGCGAGUGGCGGACGGGAGAGGAAUACAUCGGAAUCUACUUUUUCGUGGGGGAUAACGUAGGGAAACUUACGCUAAUACCGCAUACGACCUACGGGUGAAAGGAGGGGAUCUUCGGACCUGGUGCGGUUGAAUGAGCCGAUGUCGGAUUAGCUAGUUGGCGGGGUAAAGGCCCACCAAGGCGACGAUCCGUAGCUGGUCUGAGAGGAUGAUCACCCACACUGGAACUUAGACACGGUCCAGACUCCUACGGGAGGCAGCAGUGUGGAAUAUUGGACAAUGGGCGCAAGCCUGAUCCAGCCAUACCGCGUGGGUGAAGAAGGCCUUCGGGUUGUAAAGCCCUUUUGUUGGGAAAGAAAAGCAGCAGCUUAAUACCCCGCUGUUCUGACGGUACCCAAAGAAUAAGCACCGGCUAACUUCGUG